rnacentral:rRNA from 1 species
CUUGACUGUAUCCUGGAAUUGGGUUCGGGCUUUUCUUGCGCAGCCUAGGUGGGAGGCUAUGAAGGUUCCCUUCCGGGGGAAUCUGAGCCAUCAUUGAGAGACCACUCUGGAAGAGCUAGAAUCCUAAUGGUGAUCUUUGAAUCAAGACACUUGACAGUUUCAGGUGGGCAGUUUAUCUGGGGCGGAUGCCUCCUAAAGCGUAACGGAGGCGUGCAAAGGUUCUCUCAGUCUGGACGGAAAUCAGACAUUGAGUGCAAAGGCAAAAGAGAGCUUGACUGUAAGACCAACAAGUCGAGCAGGGGCGAAAGCCGGCCUUAGUGAUCCGACGGUGCCGUGUGGAAGGGCCGUCGCUCAACGGAUAAAAGUUA